rnacentral:rRNA from 1 species
UACAGAGGGUGCAAGCGUUAAUCGGAAUUACUGGGCGUAAAGCGUGCGUAGACGGUUACGUAAGUCAGAUGUGAAAGCCCCGGGCUCAACCUGGGAAUUGCAAUGGAAACUGGCGGGCUUGAGUGUGGCAGAGGGGGGUGGAAUUCCGCGUGUAGCAGUGAAAUGCGUAGAGAUCAGGAGGAACACCGGUGGCGAAGGCGGAUCUCUGGGCCUUACCUGACGCUCAGGCGCGAAAGCUAGGGGAGCGAACUGG